GGCAUUAAAUGAAAGAGUACUUGCCAUGCUCAAGAUGGUGGUUUUCCCAGGGCGAGGCUCAUCCAUUGUUGGGGCCAUGCUGACCCAUGUGAUUUUUCUAAAUGCAAGUAAUUCAACUGCAUAAGGUGUUGGGGGGUGGGGGUGGGGGUAUUGAGACGGGGUUUUCACCAUGUAGUCAUAACUGUAGACCUCAC
rnacentral:snRNA from 1 species